rnacentral:sRNA from 12 species
CACAGGCAAGCGCAGGAUUACUGCUAGGUCGUCGGAUAGACGGCAGCUCCUUUGUGAGUGGGUUCCUGGCACCUGGGGCCUGUGCAUUU